UAUUUUGUAGAAUCACAAUGUGCUUCUAGAAUCUCUCUAGAAUCUAGAACCUCUCUAGAACCAAAAUAUCUGCUGGCCUAGUCCCACUUCCUCCUGACAUAGAGGAAGGAAGAAAGGCCGUGGCAUGUCCAGGCUCAUGACUCUGUCUUCACAGAAGACCCUCACCUCGCCUCCCCACUGCCAGGAACUCUAUGAAACAUUGGAAUUGGGGCUCCAAAUGAGUUAUCUGUGAGUGACCCUGGGGAGCCCCUAUCUCUGUCUGCCUCCACCUGAACAGCCAAAUCAAAUACAAAUCUGCUUCACCAUUACGGGUUGUUAGUGAUGAGAAGGGCAUCUAUGGUGCUCAGCACCCACUGGAAGGUGGUCACCAGACUGGCAGGAGUGGACAGGUGGUCUCUGGAGGAGGGGGACUUCUUCUGUGUGUUACCAAAGCAAGACUGCCAGCAAGUGGGAGAGCCCAAGCAUUUUGGACUCCGUGCCUUCCCAAGAUGGAGCCGGGAGACAUUCCUGCCUCACCUGCUGGUGACAGAAACAUGAACGCCAUUAGAGAGUAUCGUUACGGGAGGACGGACUGCAUCAUCUCCAGCUGGAGCUAAAGUCGGGAGAGAUACAUCAGGGCCUGUUGGGAUCGCUCCCUGGAGGCAGGCAGCAAAGACUCAACCCAGCUCUUCCUCUUCAUGCACUCAGGUGGAGCCACAGGUGGAGCCAGCAAGUUGGAAGCUUGGCUACCAGGGCAAGACUGAUCUCCCUAUGGGGGAGUCCCAUGUGCAAAGUGUCUGCCUGUAUGAGUUUCUGUCCUGCCUCUUUCUAAGAAAAUAUGGAUAUGGCAGGAUUGCGUUGU